rnacentral:rRNA from 1 species
CCCCAAGUGGUCGUCGUUAUUAUUGGGCCUAAAACGUCCGUAGCCGGUUUGGUACAUUCGUGGGUAAAUCAGACAGCUUAACUGUUUGAAUUCUGCGAGGACGGCCAAACUUGAGACCGGGAGAGGUGUAGGGUACCUGCGGGGUAGGGGUAAAAUCCUGUCAUCCCGUAGGGACCACCUGUUGCGAAGGCGCCACACUAGAACGGAUCUGACGGUCAGGGACGAAGCCUAGGGGCACGAACCGGAUUAGAUACCCGGGUAGUCCUAGGUGUAAACGCUGUGGACUUGGUGUCGGGGAUCUCUAGAGGAUUCUCGGUGCCGUAGUGAAGAUGUUUAGUCCACUGCCUGGGGAGUACGGUCGCAAGGCUGAAACUUAAAGGAAUUGGCGGGGGAGCACUGCAACGAGAGGAGCGUGCGGUUUAAUUGGAUUCAACGCCGGAAAACUCACCAAAGCCGACUGUUAUAUGAAGACCAGCGUAAUGAGCUUGUCGGAUUUUCAGAGAGGUAGUGCAUGGCCGUCGUCAGUUCGUACCGUAAGGCGUUCUGUUAAGUCAGAUAACGAACGAGACCCCCAUCGUCAUUUGCUAAUCCGUUCUCCGGAACGGACGCACUAUGGCGAGACCGCUGGCGUGAAGUCAGAGGAAGGCGGGGGCAACGGUAGGUCAGUAUGCUCCGAAUGCUUUGGGCUACACGCGCGCUACAAAGGACGGGACAAUGGGCUGCAACACCGAGAGGUGACGCUAUCCCGAAACCCGUUCGUAGUUCGGAUU